rnacentral:rRNA from 1 species
UACGUAGGGCGCGAGCGUUAAUCGGAAUUACUGGGCGUAAAGCGUGCGCAGGCGGUUUUGUAAGCCAGAUGUGAAAUCCCCGGGCUUAACCUGGGAAUGGCAUUUGGGACUGCAAGGCUGGAGUGUGGCAGAGGAGACUGGAAUUCCUGGUGUAGCAGUGAAAUGCGUAGAUAUGCGGAGGAACACCGAUGGCGAAGGCAAUCCCCUGGGCCUGCACUGACGCUCAUGCACGAAAGCGUGGGGAGCAAACAGG